rnacentral:rRNA from 1 species
GACGGGGGGGGCAAGUGUUCUUCGGAAUUACUGGGCGUAAAGCGUGCGCAGGCGGUUAUGUAAGACAGAUGUGAAAUGCCCGGGCUUAACCUGGGAACUGCAUUUGUGACUGCAUGGCUAGAGUUUGGCAGAGGGGGGUAGAAUUCCACGUGUAGCAGUGAAAUGCGUAGAUAUGUGGAGGAACACCGAUGGCGAAGGCAGCCCCCUGGGUCAAGACUGACGCUCAUGCACGAAAGUGUGGGGAGCAAACAGG